AAAGUUAUGGACUCCGUAACCGCCCGAUUGGUUACUAUUCUGCCCGCUGGACUCAGUUGCUAGAGGAGGCCCAUCCUGUCUCCGAGCUGUUUUUGCUGCCCAGGCCCUAUUGGACAAAACUUUGGAUUUUGUUCUGGGUUAUCCCCUACAGCUACUUGCCCCUCACGAUAUCUCUACCAUCUUGAAUCAAGUGCAGCCCAAGCAUAUAUCCUCUGCCCGCCACCUCCGGUUACAAUGCACUCUACUCCUGCCUGACAAUGUCACACUGCUUCGAUGCCAGCAGCUGAACCCCGCUACCCUUCUUCCUCUUGUCUCUGGACAAACAGGAAGAAGAGAACACAGACUUACCUGCUCCUACCUUGGAUGAACAUGAACAUGAUUGCUUUGAACUCAUGAAGGCGGAAACCACCCAUCUACCCUCUGUCCUGGAUUCACCGAUCCCAGAUCCUCAACUCACCUUGUAUGUUGAUGGCUCCAGAUUUGAAGAUUUGUUCGGCAAUUACCAUACAGGAUAUGCGGUUACCACAGAGACUACAGUUAUGAAAGCCGCCUCGCUCCCAGCAUCCAUGUCUGCUCAAGAGGCUGAGCUUUAUGCCCUUACAGUAGCCUGCCAGCUUGCAGAAGGACGAACAGCAAACAUCUAUACCGAUGUGCGGUAUGCACUGGGCCCAAGACUUUGGGGUGAUAUGGAAGACUCGAGGCUUCUUGACUACAGCUGGACCUCCAGUGAAGUAUGGCAAAGCAAUAGAUGCGCUCCUGACAGCACUCCAACUCCCUGAACAAGUAGCAAUACUCAAGGUUAAAGCCCAUGGAAAGAGAACCACACCAGAAGCCAGAGGAAACUACCCUACCUUGCCGAUGAAACAGCAAAACAAGCAGCCAUGACCCCUUUAGAGGCUCAAACCACAGACUUCGUGGGGAUAUACCAUUCACAGCCAGAAGCCUACUCAAAAAGACUCAAACAGAUGCUGCAGACCAAGAGAAAACUACAUGGAAUAAGAUGGGAGCAGUACAGAUGAAUGAACUUUGCACUGUAGGAACCCACCCAUGUCUCCCCAGAGCUUUGUACCCAGCUGUGGUACAGUGGGCCCAUGUGCCAACCCAUCUCUCAAAGACUUUGAUGAACUCACUCAAAAACAAACAUUAUGUAGCUCCAGGAAUCACUACUUUAACUAACCAGUACUGCAAGUCCUGCCACACCUGAUGAAGAAUUCACCUUUGAUGAACUCACUUAUAAACAAACAUUUGAUGUAAUUUUCUAAUACUUAUUCCCUUGUUAUAUAUUUUUCUCAGACCCCAAUGCAGGCAUCAUCUACCCUAUGCCUAUCUUGGAGAUCUGUGUAGUACUUAUCAAUUAAUCAGAUGAUUCACUAUACUAAAAGGAUUCAUCCCCACCAUUUAGACAGCCCAGGUUUUGCCGGGUCCGUGCUUCUCCUUUUUUGUCAGCUGGUUCUGUUUGGCUCCCCUCUAUCUCCACCCCCAUCACCUCUUACCCCUCCCUGCCCAGUGUAGGACCUGUAAGUGCGACCUCUCGUAGGCAUGGAGGACGCCCACCUACUUGCAGCCUGGUCUUUUCCAUCGACCCUCCCAUUCCAUGUGGUUCUCUGGGGGUGCUGUUUCUCGGUGAUAGGGUCCUGUGGUGGACCCAUGGUUUCAGUCUUUGACAUUGAUUUUUUGAGUUCAUGUUUUCAAUCAUUUCCCCCUGAAGAGACCUCCAUUAUCAAAGGUCGAAACGCGUCAGGGUUUCUAGUACAAGUCUACUUUUUUGUUACAUGAACUCACAUAGUUGUAUUUAUCUAUCUACUUUUAAAUCGUAUUUUGGAACUCAUGUCUUGAUCCCACUAGAACGCUUUUUUUCACCAUGUAUCUUUUUAAUAAAUUAUUUCUUGAACUUUGGAAUCCAUUCUAAUUUUUUGCUGCAACUCAAAGCCCCUUGGGGUACCUUUCCUUCUAUCAAAAUUGCUAUCAGGGGUGUGCAGCACCUAUAACCCACAGCUAGUAUCGUUUUCCCUUUGCUAACAUUUUUUUGGGUGGUUAAACACCCGCACCCCAUACCCGAUACUUGUGGGUUCAGGACAUGAGCUGUGUAUUGUACCCAACAAUUCUCCCUUCUACCUCUAUGAA